CCUACGGGUGGCAGCAGUAGGGAAUAUUGCUCAAUGGGGGAAACCCUGAAGCAGCAACGCCGCGUGGAGGAUGAAGGUUUUCGGAUUGUAAACUCCUUUUGUGAGAGAAGAGAAUGACGGUAUCUAACGAAUAAGCACCGGCUAACUCCGGGCCAGCAGCCGCGGUAAUACGGAGGGAGCAAGCGUUACUCGGAAUCACUGGGCGUAAAGAGCGCGUAGGCGGGAUAGCAAGUCAGAUGUGAAAUCCUAUGGCUUAACCAUAGAACUGCAUUUGAAACUGUUAUUCUAGAGUAUGGGAGAGGUCGGUGUCUUUCUUGGUGUAGGGGUCCUAUCCGUAGAGAUCA
rnacentral:rRNA from 1 species